AGGUACGUGAGCUGGGUUUAAAACGUCGUGAGACAGUUUGGUCCCUAUCUUCCGUGGGCGCUGCAAGAUUGAGAGAGCCUGCUCCUAGUACGAGAGGACCGGAGUGGACGCACCUCUGGUGUAUCGGUUGUCACGCCAGUGGCAUCGCCGAGUAGCUAAGUGCGGAAGAGAUAACCGCUGAAAGCAUCUAAGCGGGAAACUCGUCUCAAGAUGAGUCUGCCGGGGCCUUGAGCCCCCUGAAGAGUCGUUCAAGACCAGGACGUUGAUAGGCUGGGUGUGGAAGAGCGGUAACGCUUUAAGCUAACCAGUACUAAUUGCUCGUGAGGCUUGACCCU
rnacentral:ncRNA from 1 species